UACGUAGGGUGCAAGCGUUAAUCGGAAUUACUGGGCGUAAAGCGUGCGCAGGCGGUUUUGUAAGUCUGACGUGAAAUCCCCCGGGCUUAACCUGGGAAUUGCGUUGGAGACUGCAAGGCUGGAAUCUGGCAGAGGGGGGUAGAAUUCCACGUGUAGCAGUGAAAUGCGUAGAGAUGUGGAGGAACACCGAUGGCGAAGGCAGCCCCCCUGGGUCAAGAUUGACGCUCAUGCACGAAAGCGUGGGGAGCAAACAGG
rnacentral:rRNA from 1 species